rnacentral:rRNA from 1 species
GACGAACGCUGGCGGCGUGCUUAACACAUGCAAGUCGAACGAAGUGGCGAACGGGUGAGUAACGCGUAAUCAACCUGCCCUUCAGAGGGGGACAACAGUUGGAAACGACUGCUAAUACCGCAUACUGAAGGAGGGGAUUGCGUCUGAUUGGCUAGUUGGGGGGGUAACGGCCCACCAAGGCGAUGAUCAGUAGCCGGGCGGGGAGGAUGAACGGCAACAUGGGGAAUGGGAAACGGCCCAGACUCCUACGGGAGGCAGCAGUGGGGAAUCUUCCGCAAUGGACGAAAGGCUGAAGGAGAAACGCCGCGGGAGUGAUGACGGCCUUCGGGUUGUAAAGCUCUGUUAAGCGGGACGCGGUACCGGAAGAGAAAGCCACGGCUAACUACGUGCCAGCCGCCGCGGUAAUAC